GGGACCUGGGCUCUUGGUAUGAAAGGCAUAAGCCUCAGGAUGAGUUAAGAUGAGUUUUAAGUACCACAUCCGGGGCGGGCCUCCAGCUGCCAAGCCAGCUUAUGGUGCUGCUUGGCUCUAUAAGGUGUGCUGUGGGGGUUGGGGAUUUAGCUCAGCGGUAGAGCACUUGCCUAGCAAGCGCAAGGCCCUGGGUUCGGUCCCCAGCUCCGAAAAAAAGAAAAAAGAGAAAGAGAAAAAAAAGAAAAAGAAAAAAAAAAGGUGUGCUCCCUGGGUUCGGUCCCCAGCUCCGGAAAAAAAAGAACCAAAAAAAAAAAAAAAAAAAAAAAGGUGUGCUCUGUGCAGGACUCUCUCCAUUAGCCAGGUCACUGAGACUACAGGGCAGAUUCCAGAAGACCCUCCCGUCCCUCCAUAGCAUAGCCCACAGCUUUGCUCGACAGAGCUCAGCAAAGACAGAAGUCAGCACUUGUGGGCCCUCACAGCGCUUACAGCUGGCCUGGGUUCGGUUCCCAACACUCACAUAACUCAUGACUGUCUGUAACUCUAGUUCAGGGGUUCUAACACCUCCUUCUGGCCUCUGUGGGAACCAGACACACAUGUACAUACAUCCAGGAGAAUACACACAUGAAAUAAUAAAUUUUUUUUAAGAUAGGCAACCCCUGCCCGCCAAGGUGCUGAUUUUUUUUUUUUUUAAGAUUUAUUUAUUUUGCGGGGUUGGGGAUUUAGCUCAGUGGUAGAGCGCUUGCCUAGGAAGCACAAGGCCCUGGGUUCGGUCCCCAGCUCCGAAAAAAAGAACCAAAAAAAAAAAAAGAUUUAUUUAUUUUAUAUGAGUACACUGUCGCUGUCUUCAGCCACACCAGAAGAGGGUAUCGGAUCCCAUUACAGAUGGUUGUGAGCCACCAUGUGGUUGCUGGGAAUUGAACUCAGGACCUCUGGAAGAGCAGUCAGCGCUCUUAACCUCUGAGCCAUCUCUCCAGCCCUAAAAAGUCUUUUAAAAAUGUGUGGUUUUUCAUGAGUAAGCAUUACGGCUCAGAUCCAGCAGCCUCUACUGGAAUCCCACCUCUCCCAGCCCCCACUGAGCGAGGGCACAUCCUCCGGAAAGCAGCAAGGCCAGUGAAGGGGUGAGGAGGCCAAAAGAGAGAGCAUCUAGGACACAGGAGUGGAGAAGGUCAGCUUCCAUUACAAAUGGUUUUCUCCCAUAGGAAGUGGUGGACGCUGGGCCUGGUCAGGAAAUUCGCCCACCUCCAAACCUGGAACAAAUUGUGCCCUCCACCUUUCACUAAGUCUCUGCUGCUGCGGGACACGCAGGCGCGAGUGACGUCAUGACUUCCGAGCCCAAGCAGAAGCUUCCUAGGCCAGGAAGUAAGAAAACGGACUCUGACCUUUACUGGGUCAUUUCCAAAUCACCGCCCAGCAGGGGCCUGAACAGCCCGUGUUCUCCAUGUUCCGCCUGUGUACCAUGAGCACUAGAUUUUGUAGAUCCCCACAUGUCAAAGUCACAAAAACCUCAAAAUCUGGAGGUGACUGACUGGGAAGGCAAGAACUGACGCCCAGACUGAUGGAGACAGACGCACACGGUAUGGCCUGACCCAAGUCCUGCUCUUCAGUCUUCUUCAGUCACCAUCCAGGCCCGGUCUACAAACCCUGACAUCCAUCCGCCUCAGCUUCUAAUGAGGAGUGGCCACGCCCACGCCAAGCAAUAGGAGAGAGGAAAAACAUCAGACCCCCUCCGGGCUGAUCCUCGUUCAGGAGGGCAGGGAGGGUCGGGGUGGGGGUGAGGGCGCUAGCGGAGACAUUACAAACAGCCCAAGGGGAAGGCCCUAAACAGCCCCAAGCCCUGAAGAUUGUUUGUUUCUUUGUUUAGCUCCCAGCCUUGAGGAGCCGUCUAACCUCCCAGGGACUUGAUUAAAAGGUUGCUGCUGUGCCCGUGGCUGGCCCACUGUGCCGCGUGUGGCACCACCUUCCCGGGAAGGACUCUUCCUCUUCAGAACAAUGGGCAGGUGGUAAUUAGUGAGAUGCUAAUAGAGGUUUGGGCGGGGUGAGAGUUCACCUGGGCUCUCCGGAGGCUUUUGCAUCACACUUAAUGACACCCCCCCUUCCUCUGUCUUCUGCAAUUUUUUUGAACUGUAAUUAUUUUAAUUGAGAUCUUCCCCUAAUAAAAACAAAGAGCACAGCCUGGAGCCCUGUCUUCUGGGGCCUCCAGAAGCUGCCGUAGCCUCCUUGCUGGCUUUGGAGACCCAAAGCCUCUGAAAGUUUCCACCUCUGUCUCAAGCUCCCUGUUAGGAGUGUGUGUGUGCAUGUAUGUGUGAGUAUGGUGUGCAUGUGUGUGCAUGUGUGUAGGUUGUGCAUGUGUGUGGGUAUGUGUGUAUGUGAGUGUGGUGUGUGCAUGAAUUUUUGUGAGUGUGGUAUGCAUGUGUAUGAAUGUGAGUGGUGUACAUGUGUGUGUGAGUGUGGUGUGCAUGUGUGUGAAUGUGUGUAUGGUGUGCAUGUGUGUGGGUAUGUGAGUGUGCUAUGUAUGUGUGUGAGUGUACAUACGUACAUGAGUGCAUGUGUGGUGAGCAUAUGUGUGAGUGUGGUGUGUAUGGGUUUGUGUCGUCAUGUCCCUGAGCCACAGUGGACAAAUGGGAAAUGUGAUAUGUCCCAUGUGUCCUGGAUUACCACUUCUGUCCUCCAUCUCGAACUGGGGUGAGAGUUGGGGGGGUGCACGACCCUGGCUGAAUGUCUUUGGGCCUUUGUUUUCUGUCCUUUAAGAGACCAGGUUUGCCCUUCAUCUCAGUGGGACACUGAACUCUCUCCUAGGUCCUCUCAUGACUCUGUCACAGUAGUGAUCAGGUAGGAGAACAGAUCCCAAGACUUCAUUUAAACCAAGGGCCUUGUUCUAGAACUUCUGCUGUUCAAGAAUCCACAAAUCUGUUCACAGAAAUGAGAAACGCAAAGAGCAAGCGUACAGUGGGCCAGACUUCAGACUGAGCUGCAGGGUUGCGGGGAAGUGGGACUGCGGGGCAGCAGAGUAAGGGUGGAGCCCGCUUGGUGUGGUGCCCUGGUCUGAGUGUCCUCUGGGAUGUACCCUCCUCCCAGGCAGGAGCCCUGGCUUGGCCCACGAACUCUGACUCCCAACCUUCAGUGCCUGGAUUCUUUUUUUUUUUUUUUUUUUUUUUUGGUUCUUUUUUUUCCGGAGCUGGGGACCGAACCCAGGGCCUUGCGCUUCCUAGGUAAGUGCUCUACCACUGAGCUAAAUCCCCAGCCCCCAGUGCCUGGAUUCUUAACUGCAGACUUCCUAUUGCUGGCAUGAAUCUGUUGCCAGCAAGGCCUCAGGGAGGGCUCUGCACACACACACACACACACACACACACACACACACAGGCACUCAUAAAUAUACACACAAACACACAUGUGCACACACUGCACACACUCAGACAUGGGCACACACACUCACACACACUUAUGCACACAUACACACUUAUGCACACUCACACAUACAUGUGUACACACCCAGGCACACACACAGGAACACACAUGUGCACACACUGAACACAUACACACUCAGACAUACAGGCAUACUCUCACACACACUUAUGCACACUCACACAUAUGCGUGCACACACACAGGCAUACACAUAACUAUACACAAGGACACACAUGUGCACACACUGAAUACACACUCAGACAUACAGGCACAUUCUCACACACACUUAUGCACACACACAUGCACUAUGUGUGCACACACAAACACACAUAUGCACACACUGUACACACUCAGACGUACAGGCACACACACUGUCACACACACACUUAUGCACACAUACACACGUAUGCAUACUCACACAUACGUGUGCACACACCCAGGCACACAUACAUAAAUAUACACAGGAACACACAUGUGCACACACUGAACACACACUCAGACAUACAGGCACAUUCUCUCACACACACUUAUGCACACACACAUGCACACAUACACAUAUGUGUACACACACAAACACACAUGUGCACACACUGUACACACUCAAAUAUAUAGGCACACUCUCUUUCUCUCUCUCUCACACACACACACAUACACACACUCACACACACCAAGCUGAUCUUGCCCUUGUUUGUGGAAGCUUUUUUCCCCCAGAGUCUCAGGUAGCACAGGGUGAUGAAGAGCCCGCUCUGCUCAAGUCCUACUCUCUGGCAGACGAAAGACAAUCAGAGACUGAGUUUGGUGACAUACACCUAUAAUCCCAGUUCUCAGGAAGUUGAGGCUAGCCUGGGCUACACAGCAAGAUUCUGAGCAAAAAAAAAAGUUAGAAAGCAUGGUCUCUAAGAGCCAUGUUUCACAGUAGUUAGUGUGGGAUGGCCCAGAGAGCCACAGAAGAAAGUAAUGAGCACAAUUAAAUAGUCAGGAACCCACUAUACCUGAGGCUACCCCCAAAACCAGAACCCAGUGACGUCACUCACUCAAGAUAACCAGACACAACCCUAGAACCCCACUGGACAGUGUCUAAGCAGAGACCACGAGCAAUGCUCAGCUCUGCACGUCUGGAGAAACACCACCUUGAUUUGCCUUGCAGCUAGAGAGUCUUCCCCAGGAUCCUGACCUGCAAUCUGUUGGAGACUGGACCUGACUGUUGGCCUUCUGUUCAAGCUCCACUCCCACAGUUACCUGGCAACAGCCAGGUGUGCCUGACCUCGAGUUGCACAGCCUGCCAGUCUCCGGUCUCAAGACCACAGCUCAUCAUGGCCCAGAUCCACGAGGGACAGAAUCUUCCACACACUGAGCCCCACACUCUGGGCCACACGGGGCCAUCUGGACAGCCAGGCAUCGUGUGAGCAAGCCUCAGGGCCUGGAGCCAGGUACCCUACCCAGGCCCCUCCUUCCAGAACCAGCCCUGUCCACCCUCCUCAGCCACAACCCUCCCACUUCAGGACUAUGGAGCAGCUGGAGGAGGAAACUCCACCCUGAGUUUCCAUUGUUUUUACAAAAAAGCCAAAAGGGAAGGAUUGAAAUGGGAACAGUGGCCUCUGGAGACUUGUGACUUCUUCAUGAAACCCUUAUGAUUCGAUUGGCCAGGAGGACUCCUGGGGUGGGGUCCUGGCCAUCUGCCCUCAGCUCCUCCUCAGUCUCCUGCUCUGUAGGCUCAGGAGCAGGACUGGAUGGGACAUCUGAGUAUCAAAAGGAGAAAGAAACCCCAGACUUCAGAGGUAGGGCCAUGCCCAGAAACCCCGACCCAGGAUUCCUGGCCUGUAGCUCCCAUGACAUAUAGCUGAGGUUCUGAUUAGAAAAGCUGCCCUGUCACUUCCAUGGUCACAGGGGUCCUGUUGGACGCCCUCCUUGUGGAAAUCCAGACCGUCAAGCUGGCUAGCUGGGACCUCCAUGAAUUCCCUGAGCUGUGAGUGGUCAGUGUCUUUCUCGGCUUCCUAUGAGUCACCACUAGGCUGGGUAGGAAGCAGUUCUGGGAGGGGGGCGUUCCUCCACCCUCCCCAGAUGGCCCAGGGGAGCUGGCCUCUGAGCCCUGUGAACUUGGGGAAUGUACUGCUCCCUCCCUAGCCCAGCCCAGCCCAGCACCUCCCGGUUCUCUGCCUGCCUGGGCUCAGCCUGUGGAGCCUUUCAGCUUCUGUCUCUGCUACUGGGGAGGUCAAGUGACUGGGUAGUGUUGUCUCAAAGUGGGGUCUUCCUGCCAACACCUCAUCUGGAGAAUGUCAAAGAGGAAAGACAAAGCCAUUAGGCGUCCUCUGGGAGGUACGGGUGGGCAGUCCCAAUGGCAGCCCCUGGACUCUUGCUCAUUGUAGCAUCUAUUAAACUUCAAACUGGGGGUUCUACCCCACCUUGGAUCAUUCAGUUCCCAGAUCAAAGACACAUUUUAUAUUUAUCACAGGCCUUUAAUGCGCUAGUGCUGGGCAGAUAUCUAUCCUGGAAGCUAUUAUUCUUACCUCCCUAUCAAUAAACUGGGUUAUAACCACC